UGGCGGCAUGCCUUACACAUGCAAGUCGAACGGCAGCGGACCUUCGGGUGCCGGCGAGUGGCGAACGGGUGAGUAAUAUAUCGGAACGUACCUUUCAGUGGGGAUAACGUAGCGAAAGUUACGCUAAUACCGCAUAUUCUGUGAGCAGGGAAGCAGGGGAUCGCAAGACCUUGCGCUGAUUGAGCGGCCGAUAUCAGAUUAGCUAGUUGGUGAGGUAAAGGCUCACCAAGGCGACGAUCUGUAGCGGGUCUGAGAGGAUGAUCCGCCACACUGGAACUGAGACACGGUCCAGACUCCUACGGGAGGCAGCAGUGGGGAAUUUUGGACAAUGGGCGCAAGCCUGAUCCAGCCAUGCCGCGUGGGUGAAGAAGGCCUUCGGGUUGUAAAGCUCUUUCGGCCGGGAAGAAAUCGCACAGGUUAAUACCCUGUGUGGAUGACGGUACCGGAAUAAGAAGCACCGGCUAACUACGUG
rnacentral:rRNA from 1 species